rnacentral:rRNA from 1 species
AUACGUAGGGGGCGAGCGUUGUCCGGAAUGAUUGGGCGUAAAGGGCGCGUAGGCGGCCCGGUAAGUCUGGAGUGAAAGCCCUGUUUUUAAGAUGGGACUUGCUUUGGAUACUGUCGGGCUUGAGUGCAGGAGAGGUAAGUGGAAUUCCCAGGGUAGAGGUGAAAUGCGUAGAGAUUCGGAGGAACACCAGUGGCGAAGGCGACUUACUGGACUGUAACUGACGCUGAGGCGCGAAAGUGUGGGGAGCAAACAGGAUUAGAUACCCUGGUAGUCCACACUGUAAACGAUGAAUGCUAGGUGUAGGGGGUAUCGACCCCUUCUGUGCCGCAGUCAACACAAUAAGCAUUCCGCCUGGGGAGUACGGCCGCAAGGUUGAAACUCAAAUGAAUUGACGGGG